GACGAACGCUGGCGGCGUGCUUAACACAUGCAAGUCGAACGGAAAGGCCCUGCUUUUGUGGGGUGCUCGAGUGGCGAACGGGUGAGUAACACGUGAGUAACCUGCCCUUGACUUUGGGAUAACUUCAGGAAACUGGGGCUAAUACCGGAUAGGAGCUCCUGCUGCAUGGUGGGGGUUGGAAAGUUUCGGCGGUUGGGGAUGGACUCGCGGCUUAUCAGCUUGUUGGUGGGGUAGUGGCUUACCAAGGCUUUGACGGGUAGCCGGCCUGAGAGGGUGACCGGCCACAUUGGGACUGAGAUACGGCCCAGACUCCUACGGGAGGCAGCAGUGGGGAAUACUGCACAAUGGGCGGAAGCCUGAUGUAGCAACGCCGCGUGCGGGAUGACGGCCUUCGGGUUGUAAACCGCUUUCGCCUGUGACGAAGCGUGAGUGACGGUAAUGGGUAAAGAAGCACCGGCUAACUACGUG
rnacentral:rRNA from 1 species